UACGGGGGGGGCAAGCGUUGUUCGGAAUUACUGGGCGUAAAGGGCUCGUAGGCGGCCAACUAAGUCAGACGUGAAAUCCCUCGGCUUAACCGGGGAACUGCGUCUGAUACUGGAUGGCUUGAGUGUGGGAGAGGAAUGCGGAAUUCCAGGUGUAGCGGUGAAAUGCGCAGAUAUCAGGAGGAACACCGGUGGCGAAGGCGGGUCUCUGGGCCGAUAUUGACGCUGAGGAGCGAAAGCGUGGGGAGCAAACAGG
rnacentral:rRNA from 1 species